UACAGAGGUCUCAAGCGUUGUUCGGAUUCAUUGGGCGUAAAGGGUGCGUAGGCGGCGCGGUAAGUCGGGUGUGAAAUCCCAGGGCUCAACCCUGGAACUGCAUUCGAUACUGCCUGGCUAGGGUACUGGAGAGGAGACUGGAAUUUACGGUGUAGCAGUGAAAUGCGUAGAUAUCGUAAGGAAGACCAGUGGCGAAGGCGAGUCUCUGGACAGUUACCGACGCUGAGGCACGAAGGUCAGGGGAGCAAACGGG
rnacentral:rRNA from 1 species